GAUGAACGCUGGCGGCGUGCCUAAUACAUGCAAGUCGAGCGAACUGAUUAGAAGCUUGCUUCUAUGACGUCAGCGGCGGACGGGUGAGUAACACGUGGGCAACCUGCCUGUAAGACUGGGAUAACUUCGGGAAACCGAAGCUAAUACCGGAUAGGAUCUUCUCCUUCAUGGGAGAUGAUUGAAAGAUGGUUUCGGCUAUCACUUACAGAUGGGCCCGCGGUGCAUUAGCUAGUUGGUGAGGUAACGGCUCACCAAGGCAACGAUGCAUAGCCGACCUGGGAGGGUGAUCGGCCACACUGGGACUGAGACACGGCCCAGACUCCUACGGGAGGCAGCAGUAGGGAAUCUUCCGCAAUGGACGAAAGUCUGACGGAGCAACGCCGCGUGAGUGAUGAAGGCUUUCGGGUCGUAAAACUCUGUUGUUAGGGAAGAACAAGUACAAGAGUAACUGCUUGUACCUUGACGGUACCUAACCAGAAAGCCACGGCUAACUACGUGCCAGCAGCCGCCGCAGUAA
rnacentral:rRNA from 1 species